rnacentral:lncRNA from 1 species
AGAAGCAUUGCUUCACUGCAUUCAAAAAAUAUUUUCUGCUUGUAUGUAAUGUAUCUUUUUCCUUUUCCCUUUAUUUUUUAGGUUUUCACCGUCUUCAUGCUUCCAAGAGGAUAGCUGCUGACAAGAGACAGGGUUCCUGUAGAACAGUCGUCCUUGUAUCUGGCCUUUGCCAGCUCAGAGAAGACAGCAAUUGUACAACUGUAUGAAAACAAUACAGAAUGCACAGCUUGUGCAAAGAUUCUAGCAGGU